AACCCAUGGUGAGGACACCGCCUCAAUAAGUCCUUAUACCUCUUCCAUGCAUCAUAUAGAGUCUCUAAAUCAAUCUAAACGAAGGAAAAAAAAUAUCAUUCCUCAACUU
rnacentral:snoRNA from 1 species